GACGAACGCUGGCGGCGUGCUUAACACAUGCAAGUCGAACGGUGAAGCGCCUUCCUUUUUGGUGGGUGUGGAUGAGUGGCGAAAGGGUGAGUAACACGUGAGUAACCUGCCCCCUUCUUCUGGAUAACCGCAUGAAAGUGUGGCUAAUACGGGAUAUUCUGGGUCUGUCGCAUGAUGGGUCUGGGAAAGUUGUUGUUUCGGUGGGGGAUGGGCUCGCGGCCUAUCAGCUUGUUGGUGGGGUGGUGGCCUACCAAGGCGGUGACGGGUAGCCGGCCUGAGAGGGUGGACUGUCAGACUGGGACUGAGACACGGCCCAGACUGCUACGGGAGGCAGCAGUGGGGAAUACGGCACAAUGGGCGGAAGCAUGAUGCAGCGACGCCGCGUGAGGGAUGGAGGCCUGCGGGUUGUGAACCUCUGUCGCCAGUGAAGCAGGCCUGCCUCGUUUGUGGGUGGGUUGACGGUAGCUGGAGAAGAAGCGCCGGCUAACUACGUG
rnacentral:rRNA from 1 species